CCUGCCCAACGCAGGAGGAGCCAUUGGGUGCCCCUGAAUGGCCGUCCUGGAGCUGCACCCCCAGGUGGACCUCUGUGCGUGGGCGCUGCCUCCCACAGGACCCUCUGGCUCCCAUUGCUGCCUGCAAGGUGGCUCUGCAGCCCGGCUAGCCGAGCCUCUCGGCUGAUGUCCCCCCAGCUCCCCUGCCGCGGGCACGGGAGCCCUGUUUCCCGUACUCCGUCUCCUGGGCCCGGUCAGCACAAGUUCACGGGCCAGGUUCAAAGGCCUCCCAGCUCCUUGGCCCUGAAAGAGCCAUUGGCCUCCCUGAGGUGGCCUCUCCUCUCCUGCCUCCCUCAGGGGACUGCUGAGGGCCAGGUAGCCGGGGAAGAUGAGCCAGAGCCAAGCAGGAGCGGUCAGAGCCGGGCCACGGGGUCUUCAACAGUUUCCUGCCAUCUGACGCCUUCCAAGGCGCCCAGACCACGGAGGAGACUGCCCGUGGGAGGUGGGGGUGAGACCGGUGAGGGCAUCCCGGCCCUGCAGCUGCCUCUUGGGGGGCAGGAUUCCACGCCACUGUAGGGCUGAGGGGACUAAGGAUCUGCAGGAGGGAGUCAGGGUCAUCUGGUCCAGGAAGAGGGGCAGCAAGAAGGAACAGAACAGAGGAGAGAGUGAGGGGGAGAAGUCAGACCUCGUCCUCUGCUCAGAGCUCCCCAGAAGCCAGGGAAACAGGGGGAAGUGGGGCUUGUGAGCUCCUCUCCCACGGGUACAGUUAGAAGCCAUCAGGUCUCGAUCCCAAAGCCUCCGUCCUGAGAGGGGCCUGGGACUGAGACCACAAGGAAUGCUAAUGCGGAUCCCUCCCUUCCUGAGCUGCCACUGAGCUGGGCUCGGCUUGGGCGCGGGUGGAACCCCAGCCCCUCUGACAGCACACUCCCAGGCCCUCCCCUUGUCCCCACAAUGCCUGGGAACUUGGGUGGGGGCCUCAGUGACACUCUGCCAACUGCACAGCUGAGAGGACGGGAGAGGCACUCGGGGCCUGGCUGAUCCCUUGCCCUGCAGUGUGCAUGAGGCCCUCCUUCUGGCCCCCCCGGCAGCUGGGCUCCCCGUUCCUGCAGACCUGGUAGGCUCCAGGAGCAAUCCAGGGUCUGGUGCUCCUGCGUGGCCGUCCCCACCACCCAGCGCCCUGACUUUGCCCGGAAGAACCCCUGGCUCAGGUUCCAGGAAGGGAGCCAGGCCUUGUCUGGUGACCACGAACUGCAGCCUCCAUUCGACCUACUGAGGCCACUCGACCAGGAGCCCAGCGGGGCCAGAGGCGCCUCCUCUGGUGACGGCCUUCUGAGGUCUGAGCUGGCUUUCAGGAGGGAGCCCCCAGGAGAGCCCGCAGGCUUCCACGGCCCAGUCCCCAGCACACGGCGCCCCCUCCCCUUCCUUUGAGGGGAGGGGACCAGAAGCCGCCCUUGGUGGGGACCUAGAAAGGGUCUGGAGCAGUGGAGGGACGACACCACAGGCGCCCAAGGCAGGAGGAGAGCUGCUGCUCUGGCCGGUCCCUCCCGUCCUGCCCUAUGGGAACGUUCUAGUGGUUGGUUCUUCAGAGCCUGGCCCUACUCCCCUUUGUCUCCAGACCGCGCUGUCCACCCUGGCAGACCCUGGACGGCCAGCAGGCCCUGCGUGAGGCCCUGUGCUCAGCCUCUGCGGGGGUGCAGUGGGUCCGGCCUCUCCAGGUCUGCACACGCUGCCCCUUGUGCCCCUCAGGCCAGUGGGCCCUGGAGCUUCUCCUGACCUUCGUCCUUCAUUAACCCUCUGAAAUGACCCGAGCUGAGGUCACAGUCUGUUUCUCACCAUUACUGGAGAGGGUGGCCAGCCGUCCCCGAGGCCCUGAGUCACCCCAGGUCCUGGCCUGGGGCUGGCCUGAGCCUCCUUCUUGGUGGCUUGACCCUUAAGACUCCCACAGAAAAGUCUGCGUAGAGGUGGCCACUGCCUGAGCUCCUCGGUGGGGACAGGCUGAAUGUUUUAACUCCAGCAAGACCGGGCCCAGUGGGGGGACCGGCGCCAGCCAGACAGCUGAGUAAACAGCCCUGGUCACGUUUCCAGGCCCCCUGCAGCCCGGCUGCCCCACAGGACUGGAGGCCACUCCAGGCCAAGGGCGGGGCUGAGUCCUCUGUGGAGAUGGCUCUGGUCCUGGGUCCCGGAGCCGGCACCUCCCAGCGCGUGACCCGAGGAGGGGCUGCCUGCCCUGGUGGCGCGUCGGACCCUGCACCGGGGCUCAGCUCUGCUGCUCUUCCUCUGGGACCUCAUU
rnacentral:lncRNA from 1 species